AGCGUAGGCGGAUUUUAAGUGGGAUGUGAAAUACCCGGGCUUAACCUGGGUGCUGCAUUCCAAACUGGAAGUCUAGAGUGCAGGAGGGGAAAGCGGAAUUCCUAGUGUAGCGGUGAAAUGCGUAGAGAUUAGGAAGAACACCAGUGGCGAAGGCGGCUUUCUGGACUGUAACUGACGCUGAGGCUCGAAAGCGUGGGGAGCGAACAGGAUUAGAUACCCUGGUAGUCCACGCCGUAAACGACGAAUACUAGGUGUAGGGGUUGUCAUGACCUCUGUGCCGCCGCUAACGCAUUAAGUAUUCCGCCUGGGGAGUACGGUCGCAAGAUUAAAACUCAAAGGAAUUGACGGGGGCCCGCACAAGCAGCGGAGCAUGUGGUUUAAUUCGAAGCAACGCGAAGAACCUUACCUAGACUUGACAUCUCCUGAAUUACUCUGUAAUGGAGGAAGCCGCUUCGGCGGCAGGAAGACAGGUGGUGCAUGGUUGUCGUCAGCUCGUGUCGUGAGAUGUUGGGUUAAGUCCCGCAACGAGCGCAACCCUUAUUGUUAGUUGCUACCAUUUAGUUGAGCACUCUAGCGAGACUGCCCGGGUUAACCGGGAGGAAGGUGGGGAUGACGUCAAAUCAUCAUGCCCCUUAUGUCUAGGGCUACACACGUGCUACAAUGGUCGGUACAAUGAGAUGCAACCUCGCGAGAGUGAGCAAAACUAUAAAACCGAUCUCAGUUCGGAUUGUAGGCUGAAACUCGCCUACAUGAAGCUGGAGUUGCUA
rnacentral:rRNA from 1 species